rnacentral:rRNA from 1 species
AAUCAACGCUGGCGGCGUGCCUCAGACAUGCAAGUCGAACGCGAAAGUUCCCUUCGGGGAACAAGUAGAGUGGCGCACGGGUGAGUAACACGUAGGUAAUCUACCUUUGGAUGGGGAAUAACAACCGGAAACGGUUGCUAAUACCGCAUAAUGCAGCGGCACCUAAUGGUGACAGUUGUUAAAGCGGGGGAUCGAAAGACCUCGCGUCUGAAGAGGAGCCUGCGGCGGAUUAGCUAGNGGUAAGGUAAUGGCUUACCAAGGCGACGAUCCGUAACCGGCCUGAGAGGGCGGUCGGUCACACUGACACUGACAUACGGGUCAGACUCCUACGGGAGGCAGCAGUCGGGAAUCUUGCGCAAUGGGCGAAAGCCUGACGCAGCGACGCCGCGUGAGGGAU